AGUGAACGCUGGCGGUAGGCCUAACACAUGCAAGUCGAACGGCAGCACAGUAAGAGCUUGCUCUUACGGGUGGCGAGUGGCGGACGGGUGCGGAAUACAUCGGAAUCUACUUUUUCGUGGGGGAUAACGUAGGGAAACUUACGCUAAUACCGCAUACGACCUACGGGUGAAAGCAGGGGAGCUUCGGACCUUGCGCGAUUGAAUGAGCCGAUGUCGGAUUAGCUAGUUGGCGGGGUAAAGGCCCACCAAGGCGACGAUCCGUAGCUGGUCUGAGAGGAUGAUCAGCCACACUGGAACUGAGACACGGUCCAGACUCCUACGGGAGGCAGCAGUGGGGAAUAUUGGACAAUGGGCGCAAGCCUGAUCCAGCCAUACCGCGUGGGUGAAGAAGGCCUUCGGGUUGUAAAGCCCUUUUGUUGGGAAAGAAAAGCAGCAGGUUAAUACCCCGCUGUUCUGACGGUACCCAAAGAAUAAGCACCGGCUAACUUCGUG
rnacentral:rRNA from 1 species